AUGAACGCUAGCGACAGGCCUAACACAUGCAAGUCGAGGGGCAGCGGGGAGGUAGCAAUACCUUUGCCGGCGACCGGCGCACGGGUGAGUAACACGUAUGCAAUCCACCUGUAACAGGGGGAUAACCCGGAGAAAUCCGGACUAAUACCCCAUAAUAUGGGCGCUCCGCAUGGAGAGUCCAUUAAAGAGAGCAAUCUUGGUUACAGACGAGCAUGCGCUCCAUUAGCCAGUUGGCGGGGUAACGGCCCACCAAGGCGACGAUGGAUAGGGGUUCUGAGAGGAAGGUCCCCCACAUUGGAACUGAGACACGGUCCAAACUCCUACGGGAGGCAGCAGUGAGGAAUAUUGGUCAAUGGUCGGCAGACUGAACCAGCCAAGUCGCGUGAGGGAAGACGGCCCUACGGGUUGUAAACCUCUUUUGUCGGAGAGUAAAGUACGCUACGUGUAGUGUAUUGCAAGUAUCCGAAGAAAAAGCAUCGGCUAACUCCGUGCCAGCAGCCGCGGUAAUACGGAGGAUGCGAGCGUUAUCCGGAUUUAUUGGGUUUAAAGGGUGCGUAGGCGGCACGCCAAGUCAGCGGUGAAAUUUCCGGGCUCAACCCGGACUGUGCCGUUGAAACUGGCGAGCUAGAGUGCACAAGAGGCAGGCGGAAUGCGUGGUGUAGCGGUGAAAUGCAUAGAUAUCACGCAGAACCCCGAUUGCGAAGGCAGCCUGCUAUGGUGCGACAGACGCUGAGGCACGAAAGCGUGGGUAUCGAACAGGAUUAGAUACCCUGGUAGUCCACGCCGUAAACGAUGAUUACUAGGUGUGGGGGGACUGACCCCUUCCGUGCCGCAGCAAACGCAAUAAGUAAUCCACCUGGGGAGUACGACCGCAAGGUUGAAACUCAAAGGAAUUGACGGGGGCCCGCACAAGCGGUGGAGCAUGUGGUUUAAUUCGAAGCAACGCGAAGAACCUUACCAGGUCUUGACAUCGAUCUAAAAGGGAUGGAGACAUCCUCAUAGCUAUAGAGAAGACAGGUGGUGCAUGGUUGUCGUCAGCUCGUGCCGUGAGGUGUCGGCUUAAGUGCCAUAACGAGCGCAACCCCUAUGGACAGUUACUAACGGGUGAAGCCGAGGACUCUGUCUAGACUGCCGGCGCAAGCCGCGAGGAAGGUGGGGAUGACGUCAAAUCAGCACGGCCCUUACGUCCGGGGCGACACACGUGUUACAAUGGCAGGUACAGAAGGCAGCCAGUCAGCAAUGACGCGCGAAUCCCGAAAACCUGUCUCAGUUCGGAUUGGAGUCUGCAACCCGACUCCAUGAAGCUGGAUUCGCUAGUAAUCGCGCAUCAGCCAUGGCGCGGUGAAUACGUUCCCGGGCCUUGUACACACCGCCCGUCAAGCCAUGGAAGCCGGGAGUACCUGAAGCAUGCAACCGCAAGGAGCGUACGAAGGUAAUACCGGUAACUGGGGCU
rnacentral:rRNA from 1 species